rnacentral:rRNA from 1 species
UACGAAGGGGGCUAGCGUUGUUCGGAAUCACUGGGCGUAAAGGGUGCGUAGGCCGCACGGUAAGUCAGAGGUGAAAUCCCGGAGCUCAACUCCGGAAUUGCCUCCGAUACUGCCGUGCUCGAGGACUGGAGAGGAGUCUGGAAUUCACAGUGGAGCAGUGAAAUGCGUAGAUAUUGUGAGGAACACUAGUGGCGAAGGCGAGACUCUGGACAGUUCCUGACGCUGAGGCACGAAGGCCAGGGGAGCAAACGGG